rnacentral:rRNA from 1 species
CUUUCUUUGCUGGCGACCGGCGCACGGGUGAGUAACACGUAUCCAACCUGCCCUUUACUCGGGGAUAGCCUUUCGAAAGAAAGAUUAAUACCCGAUAGCAUAAUGAUUCCGCAUGGUUUCAUUAUUAAAGGAUUCCGGUAAAGGAUGGGGAUGCGUUCCAUUAGGUUGUUGGUAAGGUAACGGCUCACCAAGCCUUCGAUGGAUAGGGGUUCUGAGAGGAAGGUCCCCCACAUUGGAACUGAGACACGGUCCAA